rnacentral:lncRNA from 1 species
CAUUUUUUAUCAAAGGACCAAAGAAAAGAAAAUCAUCAUCAUAUUUCCAUAACAAGUAUGCAACAAUUCCUUGAGUUUUAGCAAAAUACAAUAUAUGAAACGAGCAAUAGUUUAACAACACGAUCAUGACCAAAAGAUGAAAACAAAAUCUCAAGUUUAAAGAGAGAUUUUACAUGAACGGAAAUUUCCAGGCAGAUCUGAGACAGAUUUAAGCGUGUGUGUAUCCAUGACCAAUGCUAAUUUGAC